UCCGGUUUAUCACCUUCAGUCCCCCUAGAGUUCCCGGCCGAACCGCUUUAACUAGCAUGUCAAGCCCAGGUAAGGUUCUUCGCGUUGCAUCGAAUUAAGCCACAUGCUCCGCCGCUUGUGCGGGCCCCCGUCAAUUCCUUUGAGUUUUAGCCUUGCGGCCGUACUCCCCAGGCGGGGCACUUAAUGCGUUAGCUUCGGCACGGGGGGAGUCGACACCCCCCACACCUAGUGCCCAUCGUUUACAGCGUGGACUAC
rnacentral:misc_RNA from 1 species